rnacentral:snRNA from 1 species
UCGUUCGUCUGACUUGGGU